AGGUGCCUGGGUUUAGGCUGGGGAACAUACCUUUUUCGGGGUCACUAGUCAACCUACUACAAUUGGAUAAUGACUAUUAUACCCAAUGAUAUCCCCUGUUAGAGCCUUCAAACAAGCUCUCAAGGUCCAUUUGAGAACAUAGGGUAGUCAAGCUUCCAAGACUCCAGACACAUCCAAAGGAGGAGCUGCAUGUGGCAGUCUGCCUUUCCUU
rnacentral:snRNA from 1 species